rnacentral:rRNA from 1 species
GCGAAGCGGGAAGAAGCUCCAAAUUUUAUUAAUCUGGCACCUUCGGUGUCCGAGUUGUAAUCUCUAGAAAUGUUUUCCGCGUUGGACCGCACACAAGUCUGUUGGAAUACAGCGGCAUAGUGGUGAGACCCCCGUAUAUGGUGCGGACGCCCAGCGCUUUGUGAUACAUUUUCGAAGAGUCGAGUUGUUUGGGAAUGCAGCUCAAAUUGGGUGGUAAAUUCCAUCUAAAGCUAAAUAUUGGCGAGAGACCGAUAGCGAACAAGUACCGUGAGGGAAAGAUGAAAAGCACUUUGGAAAGAGAGUUAACAGUACGUGAAAUUGUUGGAAGGGAAACGCUUGAAGUCAGACUUGCUUGCCGAGCAAUCGGUUUGCAGGCCAGCAUCAGUUUUCCGGGAUGGAUAAUGGUAGAGAGAAGGUAGCAGUUUCGGCUGUGUUAUAGCUCUCUGCUGGAUACAUCUUGGGGGACUGAGGAACGCAGUGUGCCUUU